UAUAAAGAGACCUAAAUUACUUUCUCUUAUUGCUAAGGACAGGCAAUGCUUUAUUUUUAUUGCCUUGCUGAGCUCUCAACCUAACGUCAGUCAUCAGCAAGGCUAUAUAAACUCUGAGCUAGUUAAUUAGAGGGACUACUUUAAGACAUCAGACUUAUGCAUGAAGAGUUUGGAAGGAACUCUACUGGAAAAGAAAUGCAUAGGACUACAUCUCAGGAUGGGGAACAUAUGCACAAGACGCUCUCCUGAAGAGAUGUUAAACUCCAAGAAGAAAGAAGGAAAGUCGAAAGAAUGGCAGUGUACAAUGCAAGCAUGUAGAUUUAUAGCUGCUAUUGCCCAGCUGUGACUUGGUUAGCACUAGAAUGUGUCUACAGUGUAGAUAGAAGCUGAACAUAAUUCCCAUGUUAGUAGAUUGUCCACCCUUUUCUGAGUAUAUUUGUUUCCUAUUGUUUCUAUGGAGAUCAAUUACACUUUAGCUUGCAUUAAGCAAGCAGGAGAAUCUGCCAGCUGUUCAGCAAAGGCCUGAUAAAGUAAUUUCUUCCAUCUCAUGUUGACAGCAAUGAUGCAAGUCAAAUACUGUAAAUGGAAAAGUUUUCUCUUAAACUAUGUUUUCUGGUAGUGACUAUGAUACUAUAUUAGCUUGUAUAUUGACUAGCCUGGCUUUUAGUGUUUGUAGUCCAAUAUCUGAGGACAGAGCUGCUACCCCUCUGGGGGAGGAGAGGGAACUAUUCCCUCUGUCUGGCAAGGUGAGAUGCUAUUUAAAAUCUAUAGGCUAAGUGCAAUGAAGCUCCUUGUUUGAGGAAUGUAACUGGUGCUCUUAGUCACUGUGCUGGGACUUCACUGUUGGCUGCUUUUUCCAUGUCAUAAAAUGAUAGAUUCUGGAGAAGAUAAGGUUAGAAGAGAAAAUGCUGUACAUGUUAGUAUGAAGAUCACCAAACAGAUCACUGACAGUGUGAGUGUCAUUACAGAGCCAGGAAUAAGACCGGUAGCAAUGGGUGGAAAGGAAGCAGUGCUAAAUAAAUGUGAAAAGCUGAUAGAAUACUCUUUUCUAAAUAAAAAAGAUGAAGAUUUAGACAAGUAUAUAAUACGCUAGCUUUUGGCUUACUUGUCUACCUCAUAGGUAGUGCUGAUACUCCUUAAGUUCAAACUCUGUUCCUUUGGCAUCUGUCAACCUAUAUGCAUCCAUAAAGUGGGCUGGUUCUGCAAUGUUUUCAGUUUGACAGAGGGAUGUCUUAAUGGAGGGAAAUGUAGUAUUCAUCUCAUUCGUUGUCAUAAUGAUAGGCAGAAGGCUAGUAAGAGGGGUGACUGUGUGUGAUUUCAAGUAGUCACAUCAGUAGAAAUGAGUCUGUGAGAGGGAAACCAGCUUGGCUGUGAAAAGUAAUUGCUAUUAUAAGAUUAAAGAGAAGUGACCCUGGAUAUAUAUUUCAAAUUUGUCUUUAGUAAAAUAUUUUUAUAAUGAUAGACAGAUAAUGUUGUACAAACCACUUUUUUCUUCAUGUUUGAUCUCUCUCUCUGAACUAAAGAAUGACAACUUUUUUGUUCUGUUCACAUAGCUAAGCUUCUGCAGUCUGAGAUGAAUGGUCUUAGACACAAGUAAAAAAGGAGAAGGGCUAGUUUGUGCAUCUUGGUUCCUUUUCAUUUGUCUUUUCGAGUGUGCUUAUGAGUAUUUUCUAGUCCAGGUGAGAGAGGCUGAACAGUGCAUUCAAAAGAGUAUUUUAUCUAUCAGAUGUGCCCCCUGGAGCAUCAAGGUCUCUUUCAUUGUAUUUUUAGCUUGGUUCUGAAUUCAUAGUCUCUUCCAUAAUGGUAGAGUUUGGUGGUCAAAAUAAAGCAUGAGCUUGCACCUAUAAGUGAGGCAAUGCUUCCCUCUCUUCUAGAACCUAUUUUUCAGGGAAAAAAAGAUUGUUACUGCAACUGUUCCAUGAAGUGUGAUGGGACCUUAAUCAAAAUAGUAUGGCCUAUCAACUUACUAUGCUGAGCAUCAUUUUGAGAGCCCAGAGAUAUAAGGAGAAGUGGAACG